GAGUAACGCGUGAGUAACCUGCCUUCAAGAGGGGGAUAACAUUCUGAAAAGAAUGCUAAUACCGCAUGACAUAUCGGAAUCACAUGGUUCUGAUAUCAAAGAUUUUAUCGCUUGAAGAUGGACUCGCGUCCGAUUAGUUAGUUGGUGAGGUAACGGCUCACCAAGACCGCGAUCGGUAGCCGGACUGAGAGGUUGAACGGCCACAUUGGGACUGAGACACGGCCCAAACUCCUACGGGAGGCAGCAUG
rnacentral:rRNA from 1 species